AGAGUUUGAUCCUGGCUCAGGACGAACGCUGGCGGUGCGCCUUAUGCAUGCAAGUCGAGCGAAGCUUUUCAGUAGUUUACUACAGAAAAUGACUGAGCGGCGAACGGGUGAGUAACGCGUGAGCAACCUACCUUAGUUACUGGGAUAGCCCGAGGAAACUCGGAUUAAUACCGGAUAUUCUUAUUUAAUCACAUGAUUUUUUAAGGAAAGGUCAGCCGAACUAAGAUGGGCUCGCGUUCUAUCAGCUAGUUGGUAGGGUAAUGGCCUACCAAGGCUACGACGGAUAGCUGGUCUGAGAGGACGAUCAGCCACACUGGGACUGAGACACGGCCCAGACUCCUACGGGAGGCUGCAGCAGGGAAUAUUGCGCAAUGAGCGAAAGCUUGACGCAGCGACACCGCGUGUGGGAUGACGGAUCUAGGUUUGUAAACCACUUUCAGGAGGGAAGAAAAUGACGGUACCUCCACAAGAAGCCCCGGCCAACUACGUGCCAGCAGCCGCGGUAAUACGUAGGGGGCGAGCGUUGUCCGGAUUUAUUGGGCGUAAAGAGCUCGUAGGCGGUUCAACAAGUCGGUCGUGAAAGUUCAGGGCUCAACCCUGAAAUGUCGAUCGAUACUGUUGUGACUAGGAUACGGUAGAGGUGAGUGGAAUUCCGAGUGUAGCGGUGAAAUGCGUAGAUAUUCGGAGGAACACCAAUUGCGAAGGCAGCUCACUGGGCCGCUAUCGACGCUGAGGAGCGAAAGCUAGGGGAGCAAACAGGAUUAGAUACCCUGGUAGUCCUAGCUGUAAACGAUGGAUACUAGACGUAGGAAUUGGAUUAACGAUUUCUGUGUCGUAGCUAACGCGUUAAGUAUCCCGCCUGGGGAGUACGGUCGCAAGACUAAAACUCAAAGGAAUUGACGGGACCCCGCACAAGCGGCGGAGCAUGCGGCUUAAUUCGAUGAUACCCGUAGAA
rnacentral:rRNA from 1 species